rfam:Gossypium hirsutum cultivar TM-1 unplaced genomic scaffold scaffold120.1, whole genome shotgun sequence
UAAUAAAAAAAAUUCUUUUGUAUGGUUAAAAAUUGGCAUGAUUGACAAAAUAACCAAAUAAUGACACAUGAUGUGCCAUGUAUACUUUAUGCUAAUAUAUAUAAACUAAUUUUUAACCGUAAAAAUAGAAGAUUUUUUUAACA